rnacentral:snRNA from 1 species
GUGCUUGCUUCGGCAGCACAUAUACUAAAAUUGGAACGAUACCGAGGAGAUUAGCAUGGCCCCUGCGCAAAG